rnacentral:sRNA from 1 species
GGGAUUCUGUGGAUUUCUUGACUCUUAGAGUUUUGUCUUGAUGCUUCUGUAGGUCCAUAUUACUGUGGUGUGGGAGCAGACAGAGCCUAUGGCAGGGACAUCGUGGAGGCCCAUUACCGGGCCUGCUUGUAUGCUGGAGUCAAGAUUGCGGGGACUAAUGCCGAGGUCAUGCCUGCCCAGUGGGAAUUUCAAAUUGGACCUUGUGAAGGAAUCAGCAUGGGAGAUCACCUCUGGGUGGCCCGUUUCAUCUUGCAUCGUGUGUGUGAAGACUUUGGAGUGAUAGCAACCUUUGAUCCUAAGCCCAUUCCUGGGAACUGGAAUGGUGCAGGCUGCCAUACCAACUUCAGCACCAAGGCCAUGAGGGAAGAGAACGGUCUGAAGUACAUCGAGGAGGCCAUUGAGAAACUAAGCAAGCGGCACCAGUACCACAUCCGUGCCUAUGAUCCCAAGGGAGGCCUGGACAAUGCCCGACGUCUAACUGGAUUCCAUGAAACCUCCAACAUCAACGACUUUUCUGCUGGUGUAGCCAAUCGUAGCGCCAGCAUACGCAUUCCCCGGACUGUUGGCCAGGAGAAGAAGGGUUACUUUGAAGACCGUCGCCCCUCUGCCAACUGCGACCCCUUUUCGGUGACAGAAGCCCUCAUCCGCACGUGUCUUCUCAAUGAAACUGGCGAUGAGCCCUUCCAGUA